rnacentral:rRNA from 1 species
UUUCAAGAUUAAGCCAUGCAUGUCUAAGUAUAAGCAACUUGUACUGUGAAACUGCGAAUGGCUCAUUAAAUCAGUUAUCGUUUAUUUGAUAGUACCUUACUACAUGGAUACCUGUGGUAAUUCUAGAGCUAAUACAUGCUAAAAACCCCGACUCACGAAGGGGUGUAUUUAUUAGAUAAAAAACCAACGCCCUUCGGGGCUCCUUGGUGAAUCAUAAUAACUUAACGAAUCGCAUGGCCUUGCGCCGGCGAUGGUUCAUUCAAAUUUCUGCCCUAUCAACUUUCGAUGGUAGGAUAGUGGCCUACCAUGGUGGCAACGGGUAACGGGGAAUUAGGGUUCGAUUCCGGAGAGGGAGCCUGAGAAACGGCUACCACAUCCAAGGAAGGCAGCAGGCGCGCAAAUUACCCAAUCCCGAUACGGGGAGGUAGUGACAAUAAAUACUGAUACGGGGCUCUUUUGGGUCUCGUAAUUGGAAUGAGAACAAUUUAAAUCCCUUAACGAGGAACAAUUGGAGGGCAAGUCUGGUGCCAGCAGCCGCGGUAAUUCCAGCUCCAAUAGCGUAUAUUAAAGUUGUUGCAGUUAAAAAGCUCGUAGUUGAACCUUGGGCCUGGCUGGUCGGUCCGCCUCACCGCGAGUACUGAUCCGGCUGGGCCUUUCCUUCUGGGGAACCUCAUGGCCUUCACUGGCUGUGGGGGGAACCAGGACUUUUACUGUGAAAAAAUUAGAGUGUUCAAAGCAGGCCUUUGCUCGAAUACAUUAGCAUGGAAUAAUAGAAUAGGACGUGCGGUUCUAUUUUGUUGGUUUCUAGGACCGCCGUAAUGAUUAAUAGGGAUAGUCGGGGGCGUCAGUAUUCAGCUGUCAGAGGUGAAAUUCUUGGAUUUGCUGAAGACUAACUACUGCGAAAGCAUUCGCCAAGGAUGUUUUCAUUAAUCAGGGAACGAAAGUUAGGGGAUCGAAGACGAUCAGAUACCGUCGUAGUCUUAACCAUAAACUAUGCCGACUAGGGAUCGGACGGGAUUCUAUAAUGACCCGUUCGGCACCUUACGAGAAAUCAAAGUUUUUGGGUUCUGGGGGGAGUAUGGUCGCAAGGCUGAAACUAAG